rnacentral:lncRNA from 1 species
GGGAUGGGAGAUGGGAUGCGCACACAUAUUGCCACGCACAUAGAAGUCAGGGAGUAACUUUGGGAGUUCUCUUCUUGCACCAUGCGAGCCCUGGGGACUAAACUCUAGUCAUGGUGAGCUUGGUAACAAACGCUUCAUCCACAGAGCCAUCCUGUCAUCCCGUCAUCCUGUCAGCCCGUCAUCCCGUCAUCCUGUCAUCCCGUCAUC